GUGCUUCAGCUGCACACAUACUAAAAUUGGAACGGUACAGAGAAGAUUGGCAUGGCCUCUGUACAAGGAUGACACACAAAUUUAUGAAGCGUUCCAUGUUUUU